rnacentral:rRNA from 1 species
UACGUAGGGGGCUAGCGUUGUCCGGAUUUAUUGGGCGUAAAGAGCGUGUAGGCGGCCAGAUAGGUCCUCUGUGAAAACUCGAGGCUUAACCUCGAGAUGUCGGUGGAAACCAUCUGGCUAGAGUCCGGAAGAGGAGAGUGGAAUUCCUGGUGUAGCGGUGAAAUGCGCAGAUAUCAGGAGGAACACCCGUGGCGAAAGCGGCUCUCUGGGACGGUACUGACGCUGAGACGCGAAAGCGUGGGGAGCAAACAGG